rnacentral:rRNA from 1 species
CUACGGGGGGCUGCAGUGGGGAAUCUUAGACAAUGGGCGCAAGCCUGAUCUAGCCAUGCCGCGUGAGUGACGAAGGCCUUAGGGUCGUAAAGCUCUUUCGCUGGGGAAGAUAAUGACGGUACCCAGUAAAGAAACCCCGGCUAACUCCGUGCCAGCAGCCGCGGUAAUACGGAGGGGGUUAGCGUUGUUCGGAAUUACUGGGCGUAAAGGGUGCGUAGGCGGUCUGUUAAGCUGGAUGUGAAAUCCCGGGGCUCAACCCCGGAACUGCAUCCGGAACUGGCAGACUAGAGACCAGGAGGGGAGAGGAGAAUUCAUGGUGUAGCGGUGAAAUGCGUUGAUAUCAUGAAGAAUACCGGUGGCGAAGGCGCCUCUCUGGAAUGGUUCUGACGCUGAUGCACGAAAGCGUGGGGAGCAAACAGGAUUAGAUACCCCUGUAGUC